CUUAAUCUCGUUUUGAUAAGCCUUUUAUUUAUAUUUUGAUUUUUUUAUAUAAAAAACCACAUUGAAAAAACUUGUAUAUUAAAUAUUUUUUAAAAAAACAAAUUUACAACCUACGAGUUAAAUGACUAUAUACUGUAACUAGUUUUACCCGACGAACUUCAAUCUGCUGCAGAUGUUGAUCCCCAGUGCUCUCAAAUUUCUCCACCGUGACGAGCUUUGCAAUUAACUUGAAUGAAAGCAGGGCAACUGUUGGAUCACAGUGGUAACUCUUAGAGGUAGCAAAUUUCGCUUUCUUUGCGCUGGCAGCUUGAAGAUUUCAGCUCGAAACAUGAUGAGAAACACAUUCUUGUGAAAGAAGUUAUGGACAGAUCAUCUACUUUUGUCAUAUGAAGAUUUCAUGAGUUUUGAAGAAUAUAAUGGACAACAAAUUUACACAGUUGAGUUCAUCUCUUGAAUUUUGAGGCCAUUCAUUUCAAUCCUAGUUAUAAGUCCCUGGAAAGUUGAGUUGAUAUGAUAUUUUUAACCAAAUCAAGGUAUGAAAUGGUCGAGAUUGGAAGGGCUUUCAGCCUUGAUUCAUUACUCCAUCAAUCAUAGGGAUCUGAGCAGUCUGAGAUAAUUAAUCGUUUGCUCCUUGAAAAACUUGGCCUUUUCUCUUAACCCUUUUUCAAGGGCACCUGUUGCUGUCAAUUAUAUGAGGUAGGGCUACCAAGGAAUAGAAAGAUGGGUACUAUUCGUGUUUUUGAAAUACGAUUGGAUUGUUAAUUUUGGCCCCAUCUCCCUUCCCAUCAGGUUGCUUGAUCCCCUUAUAAAGACAUUAGACCUACUAAAAAUUACUCAAAAACAUCCUGUGUUUCUCUACUUGAAAACCAUCUCUAGAACCUCUUUUUUUCAUCAUCUCAUCAAGACUCAAAUCAUGAGAAUAGCUUAUAGCCCUUUACUCCCACUUCUAGUUUUCAGCACAAUCAUGCUAUCUUUACUCCAUCCUUCUACUUGCAGGCAUAUCAGCCGAGCUACCUAUGAAGAAGAACAGCAACUUAACACCGAGUUCUCUCUCCCACUCCCUCAGCACCUGCCGGCUAUCGCUCACACUGUGAAAUUCAAUAAAGACGACAAGGUCCAGAAGUUGUAUGCUGCAUCUCAUAAGCUUGUCCCAGGUGGACCUAAUCCACUUCACAAUUGAUUGGAUUUGUCGUUUUUUGUAAUUAUCUGUUUCCAUGAGAAGUCCUUGAUACUGCUUUGGAGACAGAAAAUCCACUUGGUUCCUGGAAAGAAUGAAAGAUGGCCUCCCUCUCUGUAGUUCUUUCAUUCUUCCCAGGAACCGAAGUUAGAUUGAGUUGUAAAAGUGCAUCAUGUAUUAAUUACCAUGCUUAGUUUGUGUAGUAGUUAAUUAAGCUUUUAAGGAAAAUGUAAGCUCAUUUUUUCUCCUCGUGAGUGUGUUGCGGUAAUAGUCCUACUUGACUGUAUAAUUGUGACAUGUGAGCUGUGCAUCAUAGCUUCAAAUGACCAUGUAAUCCAGUCAAAGUUAGCCACUGUAUGGUCAAUUAUUUUUAGUUA